GUAGGGUGCGAGCGUUAAUCGGAAUUACUGGGCGUAAAGCGUGCGCAGGCGGUUUUGUAAGCCAGAUGUGAAAUCCCCGGGCUUAACCUGGGAAUGGCAUUUGGGACUGCAAGGCUGGAGUGUGGCAGAGGAGACUGGAAUUCCUGGUGUAGCAGUGAAAUGCGUAGAUAUCAGGAGGAAUACCGAUGGCGAAGGCAGGUCUCUGGGCUGACACUGACGCUCGUGCACGAAAGCGUGGGGAGCAAACAGGAUUAGAUACCCUGGUAGUCCACGCCCUAAACGAUGUCGACUGGUUGUUGGGGGUUUGACACUCUCAGUAACGAAGCUAACGCGUGAAGUCGACCGCCUGGGGAGUACGGCCGCAAGGUUA
rnacentral:rRNA from 1 species